rnacentral:rRNA from 1 species
AAACGACUCUCGGCAACGGAUAUCCCGGCUCUCGCAUCGAUGAAGAACGNNNCGAAAUGCGAUACUUGGUGUGAAUUGCAGAAUCCCGUGAACCAUCGAGUCUUUGAACGCAAGUUGCGCCCGAGGCCAAUAGGCUAAGGGCACGUCUGCCUGGGUGUCACGC